CUGAUCUGCACAUCGCACCCAGUGAUUGGACGGGAGCGUUUCCAUUGAUGACAGCUGUCUGACUUCUGGGGCAACAUUAUCAGAGUGGAGUUCUUACUUGGCGGCCAUUUCUAUCAGAGCGGGCUCGUAGCCACUGGACCAGCGGAUCUCACUGCCCCAGCCUGCAGAAACAGAGACCAGCAGUCACGCAGUGACACAGACGCCAAAGAUCAGAGUGAGCAGGAGCCAGCGAAACUUCAUGUCCUCUACCUUCGUGGAACUGCAGCGACGGCAGGAGAGACAAGUGAGACAAAAGUCUUCAAUCAGGACUCACACCUUAAAACAAGAUCAACCAGAACAAAAACAAGAGUCUCAGAGGUUAAUGUAGUACAUAUGGAAUCUGUGCUGCAGCUGCAGACGUGUCCGUCCAAUUUGAUUGGUUGAUAUGAGAAUCAGAAUCAGAAUCAGGAACAUGUUUAAAGCCAGGUAUGAGGAAUUUGUUGUGGCAUACAUGAGGCUGAUCGGAGUAAAAGUACAGUAUUUAAUACUAUUAUUUGUUUGGGUAAUUUCCUAAAUGCAGUAUUAAUAAAAUAGACAACAUACUGAACCAUAUAUUUUUUUAAAUCUUCAAAAAAUAGCCUAAAAAUCUUUUUCUGACAUAAUAACCAACAUUUCCUAUUUUUACUACAAAUAGGUUAAAAAAAUCAGCAGGUAUUUGUGUUGUUUGAUUUCACAGAGUGA